GGGUGGUAAAUAAUUGUGCCAGCCACCGCGGUUAUAUGAGAGACCCCAGUUGAUGAAUAAGGCGUAAAGAGUGGUUUGGGGCGCCAAACAAAUAAAGCCAAAGACCUCCCAAUUAAUCAAACGCACCCCGGAGAGGGAAGCCCUAACACGAAAGUAGCUUUACCCCUCCCCCCCCACCCCCCGAAAGCUAAGAAAAAAACUGGGAUUAAAACCCCCCCUAUGCUUACCCCUAAACUUUGAUGGCAUUUUUACAAAUACCAUCCGCCAGGGUACUACGAGCAUUAGCUUAAAACCCAAAGGAGUUGGGUGGUGUCUUAUCACCCCUCCAAGAGGAUCUUGUU
rnacentral:rRNA from 1 species